AACGAACGCUGGCGGCAUGCCUAACACAUGCAAGUCGAACGAGACCUUCGGGUAUAGUGGCGCACGGGUGCGUAACGCGUGGGAACCUGCCCUUAGGUUCGGAAUAACUCCCCGAAAGGGGUGCUAAUACCGGAUAAUGUCUUCGGACCAAAGAUUUAUCGCCUUUGGAUGGGCCCGCGUUGGAUUAGCUAGUUGGUAGGGUAAAAGCCUACCAAGUCGACGAUCCAUAGCUGGUCUGAGAGGAUGAUCAGCCACACUGGGACUGAGACACGGCCCAGACUCCUACGGGAGGCAGCAGUAGGGAAUAUUGGACAAUGCGCGAAAGAGUGAUCCAGCAAUGACGCGUAAGUGAUGAAGGCGUUAGGGUUGUAUUGCUCUUUUACCCGGGAUGAGAAUGACAGUACCGGGAGAAUAAGCUCCGGCUAACUCCGUG
rnacentral:rRNA from 1 species